GUGUGAGAGAGAAGGAGACCUUUAAUUGUGUGUGCUGUGUGUGUGCCAGAGUGAAAUCAGGAACCAGGAAACCAGCUUCAAUGGGAGCAUCAGAGCAGAGACACGAUGUGAUACAGGGGAGGGGAAGGACACACCGCGCACAGCUCAACACCACACAUGGCAUGCUCCCCAGCACGCAUUCAACACCAAAUAUUUUAUACUCAAAACUAUUCUAAUAGUCAAUGCCACACUUACAGCUAAACUCAACACCACGCUUUCAACACAGCUCCAAGCAUUAAAUGUACUAAGUGUAUAAGCCUAUCGCUUUCAACACUCAACACCACGAUCUUAACACUCAGCAUCACUCUUACCGCUUCAACUGCACAAUAACAGCUAAAUGAUAUCGACAAUCAACACCACCCUUUAAGACUGAAAGUUUUCAACGUGGAACACCAUGCCAAACACCUUAAACUGACCUUAAGCUGAACAACACGCUUACAACCUAAACGCUUCAAACGCUAACAUUAAAAGUCACCCUCUCAGCCUGAACAUUACUGAACCUUAAGUACACUAUACUGCAAAGCUUUUCUUAACUCCCAAAAGGAGCUUUAAGAAAUGAAUGGGCCGCAGACAUAUCAGCUUGAAAAAAAAAAAAUCUUAGGUUACUGCUGUUUAGACACGGUCAAUCAUUUACCAAUUUAAAAUGAACUCCACUGCCUGGUCUAAAAAUACUGCUGAUAAACUAUACUACUACUACAGACACUACUACACUACUACAGAUACAGGCUGGUCUAGCACUAAACACCACCACCAGGUCUCCCAACGCGCCAACUCUGCCAUUCAGGACCAAACUGUAUAAUAACUAGGGGUGAAAAAAAUAAAUAAAAAAAAUCGAUUCUUCGAUUUCUCUCGAUUCUCUCUAGAACGAUUCUGUCUCGAUUCAGAAAAGUUGGUGAGACUGUGAGAGAGGAGGGUGAGACUAUGAGAGGGUGAGACCGUGAGGAGGGUGAGACCGUGAGAGAGACCGUGAGGAGGGUGAGAGAGACCGUGAGGAGGGUGAGGAGGGUGAGACCGUGAGGAGGGUGAGGAGGUGAGGAGGGUGAGAGAGACCGUGAGGAGGGUGAGACCGUGAGGAGGGUGAGGAGGGC
ensembl:lncRNA